GUCAUCGGUGCAGUUUUUAUUUGAUCGGAUAUUAUUACUCCAAUAUGGGGACUUUGAAAAUGACAUCUGUCAGUUUAAAAUAGUAAACAAUGACGAAAUUUCUUAAUCGUUUUUUGAUCAGCCUAGGUACUUUGAAAAACAAUGUAUUAGUUUUCAUUGGAUCUUUCAUUUUCAUAGAUAUCAUAACAUGAAUACCGUCAACUACCUUUGGAUCGAGUCUCAAAUUAAUGGCUGCCGACCACCCUUCAAAUUGUGGACUAAUUACUUGAGUGCAAAAAUAGGCUGAGCUCCGUCAGCUUGCCUAUCAAUUAAGCCAGAAUAUCCUCCGAGGCUACUGGCAGGAAUGUACGAAUAUAAAGCAUUUACCUUACGUGUAUUGCAGUGCUAAAAUUUAAAACAUGGCGUUGUACAAAAUAUUAUCUGGUUCUCUAACGACUAACUUCUAAAAAUACAUUACAAUAAGAAUUAGGACACUUUUGUUUAUUUAUACUGGAUAUUUAGUUGGCUUUGGGCUUGCGAGACCGGUUUUUUAAUUGUAUACUUUGAUUUUGCUUUUACUUGUGACGAAUAAAUUACGCUAAUUAUUUCGAGUUACGCCCACAUAA